CUUCACCGAACCGAGCAGGGCCGGUGUCUCACGGUCACGGCCGUAGGUCGCCAGGAGCGCCUGUGCCUC
rnacentral:antisense_RNA from 2 species